CGUUAGGAAGCUAAAUCGGGUACUAGCAUUAGCCUUUUAAGCUAAAUAUUGGUGACUCCCUACCACCCCUAACGA
rnacentral:tRNA from 1 species